UUGAAAGGGAAACGAUUGAAGUCAGUCAUACCAACGGGAAAUCAACCUUUUGAGCUUGGUCUCGUGGGUUUUGAAGAGUUUCAAAGCCUUCGGAUUCGCGGGAUUGGGAUCUCUUGGUGUACUUUUUCGUACGGUUAGUCAACAUCGGUUUUAAAUGUCAUAAAAUGAUUGGAGGAAUGUAGCUUCGAUCUCGUAUUGAAGUGUUAUAGCCUUUGGUAGAUGUGAUGUUUGAGACCGAGGAUUGCAACGGAUACCCUUCAGGGCUAUUCGUCUGAUCUCUGAUACGUUGCCUUGAUGUUGAAAGCUUGCUUAUGAUGUUAGGGUAUUACGGUCAAAAGGUUAGAACGAAUUACAUUCGUUAAGGAUGUUGACGUA
rnacentral:rRNA from 1 species